rnacentral:lncRNA from 1 species
AGGGUUGCUCUGUGAUUCUAUGUCUAGAGAUGUGAUCUCCCUAUGUUGCUCAGGCUGCCCAGGCUGGUCUCGAACUCCUGGGCUCAAGUGAUUCUCCUGCUUUGGCCUCUCAAAGUGCUGGGGUUACAGGCAUGAGCCGCCAUGGCUGGCUGAUGAUUCAUUCUUUGGCAUUAUGCAUUAGUGAAGAGAGUAGAAUAUCUCCAGUUUUGGCUGACAUCUCUACAACCUGAACAAUUGGCUUAAACUUCACUUGGGAUUCCCGGUUGCUUGUUUUAGCAUGGCAAAAUUUGGCGUUCACAGAAUCCUUCUUCUGGCUAUUUCUCUGACAAAGUGUCUGGAGAGUACAAAACUGCUGGCAGACCUUAAAAAAUGUGGUGACUUGGAAUGUGAAGCUUUAAUAAACAGAGUCUCAGCCAUGAGAGAUUAUAGAGGACCUGACUGCCGAUACCUGAACUUCACUAAGGGAGAAGAGAUAUCUGUUUAUGUUAAACUUGCAGGAGAAAGGGAAGAUUUGUGGGCAGGAAGUAAAGGAAAGGAGUUUGGAUAUUUUCCCA